AGAGCAAUGACUUCCAAAUCGGCCCGGCAUGAUGCCCCAGCACCCAAGUGCUGCGAUGACCCGCAGAACUCAGCCGAGGAGCAGGAGCUGUUAUGACGGCCCUUCCCUUCCCCUGCCGGUGCCCACCCCGGCUUGUCUGCUCCCUCCUGGCAGAUUCACCUGCGUCGUGAUCCCAGCGCCAGCCCUCCUGGCUCUGCUAAGAACCAAAACUCAGACCUGCCUGAGACACAAGGCAGCCCACAGGCUGCUCCCGGGGAGAAGGCCCAGGAAGGAGAGGAGGCGACGCCCUGAAGGGAGAGCCCAGAGGCUGCGUCCGCUGGGUCCUGGGCUCCAGGACAGCGCGUGAGUGGGUGGUUAAGGCCUUUCUUCCCACAACCAACCCUCAAAUGCUGGUGUGUCCUCCACUGGGCAGGCACUGCUUCCAUCCCUUCUAGGCACCCAGACAAACUACAUUUCCCAGCCACCUUUGCACUGAGGCAACCUGGGAACUGAAUUCCCACCAGAGGAUCAAGGGCAAAAGUGAAGGAUGUGGCCUCCAGAUCUAGCCUGUUUCCCGGAGAUCUUCAUGCAUCUGCCUCCCCUCUCUCCCAUCAGCUGAUUAAAGCUGAACCCUCUGAGGCCCUAAGACAAUGACAGAGCCGCAAAACAGAAGAAGCUUGAGUCCCUGGAUGACCCUGGAUGAUCUGGUCACACUGCAGAUACCAGCAAUGAGCUGUUACAUAAGCAAAGGGAAAACUUCUCUUGAGUUAGGCCACCGAGAUUUGAGGGUUAUUUGUUAACAGCAGUAGCAUAUCUUGACUAUUACACUAAUAACCUCUCCACACAAUAGUAAAUGAUAUGAUUUAU